UGAGCAAUCUGCCCUUCUCAUCGGAAUAAGCGUUGGAAACGACGUCUAAUGCCGAAUACGACCUCCUUUCGCAUGAUCGGAGGUGGAAAGCUCCGGCGGAGAAGGAUGAGCUCGCGGCCUAUCAGCUUGUUGGUGAGGUAAUGGCUCACCAAGGCGACGACGGGUAGCCGGCCUGAGAGGGUGACCCGGCCACACGUGGGACUGAGACACGGCCCAGACUCCGUAGGGA
rnacentral:rRNA from 1 species